UACGAGUGCUCCAAGCGUUAUCCGGAAUCAUUGGGCGUAAAGGGUGCGUAGGCGGUUGUGUUAGUCUUUCGUUAAAUUCUUCGGCUUAACCGGGGGCAUGCGAAGGAAACGGCACAACUAGAGGAUGCGAGAGGUGAAUGGAACUCAUGGAGUAGGGGUGAAAUCCGUUGAUAUUCGGCGGAACACCAGUGGCGAAGGCGACUCACUGGCCAGAUACUGACGCUGAGGCGCGAAAGCGUGGGGAGCAAACAGG
rnacentral:rRNA from 1 species